rnacentral:snRNA from 1 species
GCCUGCAUACUAGGUAUGACUGACUGAGGUGACCUAGAGAAUAUUAGCAUGAUCCCUGUGCAAGGAUGGCAUGUGGAUUCUUGAAGUGUCUCAUACUGUU